UUAAGUUAAUAAGGGCGCACGGUGGAUGCCUUGGCACUAGAAGCCGAUGAAGGACGUGACUAACGACGAAAUGCUUUGGGGAGCUGUAAGUGAGCAAUGAUCCAGAGAUGUCCGAAUGGGGGAACCCGGCAGGUAAUGCCUGUCACUCAUUACUGUUAAGGUAAUGUAGAGGAAGACGCAGUGAACUGAAACAUCUAAGUAGCUGUAGGAAGAGAAAGCAAAAGCGAUUGCCUUAGUAGCGGCGAGCGAAACGGCAAGAGGGCAAACCGAAGAGUUUACUCUUCGGGGUUGUAGGACUGCAACGUGGACUUAAAGAUUAUAGAAGAACUACCUGGGAAGGUAGGCCAAAGAGAGUAAUAGCCUCGUAUUCGAAAUAGUCUUUAUACCUAGCAGUAUCCUGAGUACGGCGAGACACGAGAAAUCUCGUCGGAAUCUGGGAGGACCAUCUCCCAACCCUAAAUACUCUCUAGUGACCGAUAGUGAACCAGUACCGUGAGGGAAAGGUGAAAAGCACCCCGGGAGGGGAGUGAAAUAGAACCUGAAACCGUGUGCCUACAACAAGUUCGAGCCCGUUAAUGGGUGAGAGCGUGCCUUUUGUAGAAUGAACCGGCGAGUUACGAUAUGAUGCGAGGUUAAGUUGAAGAGACGGAGCCGUAGGGAAACCGAGUCUUAAUAGGGCGCAUUAGUAUCAUGUCGUAGACCCGAAACCAUGUGACCUACCCAUGAGCAGGUUGAAGGUGAGGUAAAACUCACUGGAGGACCGAACCAGGGCACGUUGAAAAGUGCUUGGAUGACUUGUGGGUAGCGGAGAAAUUCCAAACGAACUUGGAGAUAGCUGGUUCUCUCCGAAAUAGCUUUAGGGCUAGCGUCGAUGUUAAGUCUCUUGGAGGUAGAGCACUGUUUGGGUGAGGGGUCCAUCCCGGAUUACCAAUCUCAGAUAAACUCCGAAUGCCAAUGAGAUAUAAUCGGCAGUCAGACUGCGAGUGCUAAGAUCCGUAGUCGAAAGGGAAACAGCCCAGACCACCAGCUAAGGUCCCAAAAUAUAUGUUAAGUGGAAAAGGAUGUGGGGUUGCACAGACAACUAGGAUGUUAGCUUAGAAGCAGCUAUUCAUUCAAAGAGUGCGUAAUAGCUCACUAGUCGAGUGACCCUGCGCCGAAAAUGUACCGGGGCUAAAACAUAUUACCGAAGCUGUGGAUACCUUUAUAGGUAUGGUAGGAGAGCGUUCUAUGUGCGAAGAAGGUGUACCGUGAGGAGUGCUGGAGCGCAUAGAAGUGAGAAUGCCGGUAUGAGUAGCGAAAGACAGGUGAGAAUCCUGUCCACCGUAAGACUAAGGUUUCCAGGGGAAGGCUCGUCCGCCCUGGGUUAGUCGGGACCUAAGGAGAGACCGAAAGGUGUAUCCGAUGGACAACAGGUUGAUAUUCCUGUACUAGAGUAUAUAGUGAUGGAGGGACGCAGUAGGCUAACUAAACCAGACGAUUGGAAGUGUCUGGCCAAGCAGUGAGGUGUGAUAUGAGUCAAAUGCUUAUAUCUUUAACAUUGAGCUGUGAUGGGGAGCGAAGUUUAGUAGCGAAGUUAGUGAUGUCACACUGCCGAGAAAAGCUUCUAGCGUUAAUUAUACUCUACCCGUACCGCAAACCGACACAGGUAGUCGAGGCGAGUAGCCUCAGGUGAGCGAGAGAACUCUCGUUAAGGAACUCGGCAAAAUGGCCCCGUAACUUCGGGAGAAGGGGCGCUGACUGAUGGUCAGCCGCAGUGAAUAGGCCCAAGCAACUGUUUAUCAAAAACACAGCUCUCUGCUAAAUCGUAAGAUGAUGUAUAGGGGGUGACGCCUGCCCGGUGCUGGAAGGUUAAGAGGAGUGCUUAGCGUAAGCGAAGGCAUGAAUUGAAGCCCCAGUAAACGGCGGCCGUAACUAUAACGGUCCUAAGGUAGCGAAAUUCCUUGUCGGGUAAGUUCCGACCCGCACGAAAGGCGUAAUGAUUUGGGCACUGUCUCACGGAGAGACUCGGGGUAAUUUUAGUACCUGUGAAGAUGCAGGUUACCCGCGACAGGACGGAAAGACCCCAUGGAGCUUUACUGCAGUUUGAUAUUGAGUAUCUGUACCACAUGUACAGGAUAGGUAGGAGCCUAUGACCUCGGGACGCCAGUUUCGAGUGAGGCGUUGUUGGGAUACUACCCUUGUGUUAUGGCUACUCUAACCCAGAUAGGUUAUCCCUAUCGGAGACAGUGUCUGACGGGCAGUUUGACUGGGGCGGUCGCCUCCUAAAAGGUAACGGAGGCGCCCAAAGGUUCCCUCAGAAUGGUUGGAAAUCAUUCGCAGAGUGUAAAGGUAUAAGGGAGCUUGACUGCGAGAGCUACAACUCGAGCAGGGACGAAAGUCGGGCUUAGUGAUCCGGUGGUUCCGUAUGGAAGGGCCAUCGCUCAACGGAUAAAAGCUACCCUGGGGAUAACAGGCUUAUCUCCCCCAAGAGUUCACAUCGACGGGGAGGUUUGGCACCUCGAUGUCGGCUCGUCGCAUCCUGGGGCUGUAGUCGGUCCCAAGGGUUGGGCUGUUCGCCCAUUAAAGCGGCACGCGAGCUGGGUUCAGAACGUCGUGAGACAGUUCGGUCCCUAUCCGUCGCGGGCGUAGGAAAUUUGAGAGGAUCUGCUCCUAGUACGAGAGGACCAGAGUGGACUUACCGCUGGUGUACCAGUUGUUCUGCCAAGAGCAUCGCUGGGUAGCUAUGUAGGGAAGGGAUAAACGCUGAAAGCAUCUAAGUGUGAAGCCCACCUCAAGAUGAGAUUUCCCAUGAUUUUAUAUCAGUAAGAGCCCUGAGAGAUGAUCAGGUUGAUAGGUUAGAAGUGGAAGUGUGGUGACACAUGUAGCGGACUAAUACUAAUAGCUCGAGGACUUAUCCAA
rnacentral:rRNA from 1 species